rnacentral:rRNA from 1 species
UACGGAGGGUGCGAGCGUUGUUCGGAAUUACUGGGCGUAAAGCGCGUGUAGGCGGCUGCCUAAGUCUGAUGUGAAAGCCCGAGGCUUACCCUCGGAAGAGCAUUGGAAACUGGGCAGCUCGAGUAUCGGAGAGGAGGGUGGAAUUCCUGGUGUAGCGGUGAAAUGCGUAGAUAUCAGGAAGAACACCGGUGGCGAAGGCGGCCCUCUGGACGAAUACUGACGCUGAGACGCGAAAGCGUGGGGAGCAAACAGG